rnacentral:rRNA from 1 species
UACGUAGGGUGCGAGCGUUGUCCGGAAUUAUUGGGCGUAAAGAGCUCGUAGGCGGCCUGUCGCGUCGGAUGUGAAAGCCCGGGGCUUAACCCCGGGUCUGCAUUCGAUACGGGCAGGCUAGAGUGUGGUAGGGGAGAUCGAAUUCCUGGUGUAGCGGUGAAAUGCGCAGAUAUCAGGAGGAACACCGGUGGCGAAGGCGGGUCUCUGGGCCGAUACUGACGCUGAGGAGCGAAAGCGUGGGGGAGCGAACAGG